AGGGUAAAAUCAUUUAAUUUGCAUUUAAAUUUAAUUGAAUUUUUCAAUUUACCUUU
rnacentral:tRNA from 1 species